UGGGGAAUAUUGGGCAAUGGGCGAAAGCCUGACCCAGCCACGCCGCGUGAGUGAUGAAGGCCUUCGGGUCGUAAAGCUCUGUGGGGAGGGACGAACAACCCAGGGAUUAAUACCUCUGGAUCUGACGGUACCUCCUUAGCAAGCACCGGCUAACCCUGUGCCAGCAGCCGCGGUAAUACAGGGGGUGCAAACGUUGCUCGGAAUUAUUGGGCGUAAAGCGCGCGUAGGCGGCUACUUAAGUCGGAUGUGAAAGCCCUUGGCUCAACUGAGGAAGUGCACCCGAAACUGAGUGGCUUGAGUACUAAAGAGGGUCGCGGAAUUCCCGGUGUAGAGGUGAAAUUCGUAGAUAUCGGGAGGAACACCGGUGGCGAAGGCGGCGACCUGGGUAGAUACUGACGCUGAGGCGCGAAAGCGUGGGGAGCAAACAG
rnacentral:rRNA from 1 species